CCCCUCCCAAAAAAAAAAAAAAAAAAUUGAGAGGGAGGGGUGACCAUUGGUUCAGUGGUAAAACCUUGGCCUAAUAACCUUGAGGUUAUGGGUUCAAGUCUCGGGGCAACCAUUUUGUGCACUAUCUCAAAAGUUAGGCUGGAACUGGAAUAGCAGAACUUAUAGCUCUUGAGAUGUCAAAACAGACCAAAGCUCAUUUGGAAGAGACGCGUAAGAAGAACUGGCUUGUGGACUCAAAGGUAGUGAAAGUUUCUGUUAGAUUUGCAUAAAAGAAAGA